rnacentral:tRNA from 1 species
GCGGGCGUAGUUCAGUGGUAGAAUGUCUGCUUGCCAAGCAGAAGGUCGUGGGUUCAAGUCCCAUCGCCCGCUCCA